UGUCUUGAAAUUAACCAAGAAAUGGGCAUCU
rnacentral:piRNA from 1 species